GGAAAACUAGAGGGGGUUAGCGCGAAAAACACCUUCGCUUUCCCCAAUCUCUCUCCCGGUCGGCGAACCCUCUCGACGGCGGCGGCGGAGGAGGAGCCAUGGGAGGCCACGGCGGGCUGAACAUCCUGCCGCAGAAGCGGUGGAACGUCUACAACUUUGACAACCGCGAGAAGGUCCGCCGCGACGAGGCCGAGGCGGCCCGGGAAGAGCAGCUCCAGCGCGAGGCCGUCCGCCGCCGCGACUCCGACCUCCGCCUCGCCGCGCUCCGCCGCAACCGCGGCCUCCAGUCCGCCGACGCGGCGCCCCUCCCUCCCCGGCCGCCCACCUACGCCGCGGAGCAGUGCCCCGCGGAUCCGGCCGACCCGUCCCCCGCCGCCGACGACUCAGACGGCGGCCACAUCAACCUCUUCUCCGCCCGCGGCGGCGGCGGUGGUGCAACCGACUUCGCCGUGCUCGCCUCCGCCGACGGUGGGAGGGGCGCCGCCAGGGAGCGGGAGCCUCCCGCGAACCCUAACCCUAAGAAGCGGAAGAGGAAGGAGGAGGAGGUGAGGGCGGUGGGGCCCGACGAGGAGAAGUACAGGCUCGGGUAUGGCCUCGCCGGGAAGGGCGUGGCGGCGCCGUGGUACAUGUCCAAGCCGUCGGCUUCAUCCUCCAUGGAGAGGAAGGAUCGCGAGGCGGGAGAAGGGAGUGUGGGGAAGAAGAAUGGUGGGAAGAAGAGCAUUGAGGAGCUUAGGGAGGAGAGGAGGAAGAGGGAGGCCAAGGAGAAGGAGCGAGAGCGAGCGCUGCUCGGCGUUCCAUCGAGGAAGGAGAAGUAUUCGGAACGGGGACGAUCGUCGAGAUGGGCACGGUGAUGUGGGGAUGCACUUAAUAUAUUUGUGCAGGCUCUUCGAAAGAUGUUGAUUUGAAGAACAAUAUAUUUAUAUUCCGCAGAAACAAUUGGAGAUGACUUGAUGAAGGAGAUUCCAGAGGUUUUAUAUGGCAAGAAGAGCCAAGGUGCUAAGCUGUUCAGGCGCCAUUGCCGCCGAGGACAUCCCAGUAUUAGCAAUUUGCAUCAGAGUUAUCUUUUGUAAAACCAACCCUGGCUAAUGUAAACUAAUGUAAUGCAAUGGAGCUUUCAACUCUGGUAGAAAUUUCAUUGUUUGCUUGUAAAGUUUAUCAAAAAAUUGCAUGGUGGACAGACUCAACUCUCAAGCACCUCUAGAUUGAUCAAGGUUGGAGAAAACUUAUUUUC